CAUAGUGUAGCUUAAUUUAAAGCCCCUGGCCUACACCCAGAAGAUUCCACCUAUAAUGGACACUUUGA
rnacentral:tRNA from 1 species